UUGGGAUUCUUGGGCAAGGAACUGAGGAAGGAGCAGGAAGGGAGAUGGAUACCAAGCCAGGAAAGGAGUAGAGGCCACACCUGAGAGAACCACCAGCAGGAAACCAAGUGUUCAAAUCUGUGAGCCUAUGGGGGACAUUUCUCACUCAAGUCACCACAGGGUCCCAUCAUACUUGGCUUGUUGCAUGGUUGCUGGGGAUCAAAAUCAGAUCUUCAUGCUUAUUCAGCAAGAAUGCUGCUGCCUGAGAUGUCUCCUCAGCCCUUCCUGAGAAUGCUGCUGCCUGAGAUGUCUCCUCAGCCCUUCCUGUCCAUAUUUUGAUCUCAAGACCUCUGUCCUCCAGAAUCAAAAGACAAUGAUUGCUGUUGUUGAACGUUCUCAGUCUUCAAGGCUUCCUGACUGACCAGUACAAAUGCCACAGCGCUCAGUGUGGUGACACAUGGCUUUAAUUCCAGUACUUACUCAGAAGGCUAAGAUAAGACACCUGAGUUGAGAGCUGGCCUAAGCUACAAGAAAGGAAGGGAACCAGAAAAGGGGAUAACAUUUGAAAUGUAAAUAAAGUAUCUAAU
rnacentral:lncRNA from 1 species